CUCUGCCGCUUCCCGGAUUCCGCUAGAUCAGGCAGAGGCGGGGGAACCAGAGUCCCGGGCUUUCCGCAUCAGCCCUUGGGGUGAAGCCGACACGUGAAUUUUCCGUGCGGCCGGAUGACCUCAUCCGAACCCGACAGCUAACUCCGCAGGUGUUGAGAGGCAAU
rnacentral:sRNA from 2 species